AGCUCCAGAUGAACCUGUGACGGCUUUUUGUUAAUCUGCACAUGUGGAGCUGGAGGCUCGCUGCCAGAGUCUCUGCCCAUAAUGAGCCGACCACCAACGGACUGCCGGUGGAACGGCCCGGCCCAGACAAUAGAGGCGGCUUCUGCACGCAACCCCACCACAGCACCCCCCACACAGCGUGUGUAGCCUCCUCCGCUUUAAUGAGACAAGAUGGCCGCCGCUGUGGCAUCAACAAAGAGGUAGGUGGCUGUGUGGAGGUGGAGGAGCAGACAAAGAGCCGGGGUGGUGGAGGUGAACUGGGGACGGGGAGGCCAUCACACGCAACCUGGCAGCCUGAGGAUGUGUGGCUCCGGGGCGGGAAUCGAACCGCCGCCCUCAGACCGGACCACCACGGCCCCUUAAAACUUUUACUGACCCGAGUCCAGGGAAACGCGUUCAAAAUGGCGGCAGUCGUCCUGUUGCCAUGGUGAUCCUGGAGGAGAUGUUCCUCCAGACUGGGCAGGAAACCCUCUGACAGAUGAAGGUCCUGGUCCAACAUCCUGUCCUCUCAACAGGUCCAACAGCAGGUCAGACGGAUCCGAUCCAAACGGGGGUCACCCCACCGCUCUCCAGCCCCAUGGCGCCCCCUGGAUGUCCGCAGGACCCUGAAUGAGAAAUGUGGGAAACAUUCAGCCGUGGGACGGAUAUAAUCAGCGUUAAGGUUCUGGACGUCUCAGCUGAAACUUUUUACUCUUUCUGAUGCUACGCUCACAGCUGGUUCUGGUCCAGUCUCAUCAUCUCCACCGCUCUGAAAUCCGUCAGCAGAAACCCGGAUCAGGACCCGGUUUGUCUCUCUGCAGGACUCAGACGGUAAAAUAAAAAGCUGAACCAGGACGCUGAUAUACAGAUUAACUGUUAAAGUUCUCCUUCCUCUGGUUUCUCUCAGUUAAGGACGUUUUGGACAGGUCCGGUCCGUUUUCACCCAUCAGGUUUUAUUUUCAGCACCGCAAUGAGUCCAGCCCAACAGCAGAAAGACUUCAGCAGGAGGAGAUCUCAGAUCUGGCAGAAACUCUGUGAGAUCACCUGAAGACGGCUGUGGAACAGAGACCUCUGACCAUGUGGGAGACCCGGAGAACCUUUAGAGCCUGAGUCGGCCGGUUUGACCCGGUCCAGAGGUGAUGGAACCAAAGGGUGCUUCAACCAAAGUCCUAAUUUACAACCUGGUUAAUUCUCAGUUAUUUUUCCAUAUUUUGAGUUAAAUAUAAAAUCUACGUUCUGAGCGAUUUGUUCUGAUCUGUUUUAUGUCACAUGAACCAGCUGUUUUAUAUCAGGGGUUCUUCCACCUAUUAAUCCUGGUCCCUUCGCUUCCUAUUGGUUACAUAAAAUGAUCCAGUUCAUUAGAGUAAAAGUAAAGCAGGUUUCUCUCUGGAUUCUGCUGCUUUUCUUUUCCCGUUUUUCAGUCCAGAAAUCGUUGGCGUUCAGAUGAACGUUUUUCUGCUUGUAAAGAGGUAAAUGGGAUUAUUAAAGUAUAUCUGACUCUGAUUCUGAUAAAGCUCACACAUUAAACCCAUCUCAACCUGCUGCUGAUGCUCAGAUGUUUCGUAGUCCAGGCAACGUGAAGUUAAUGCUAAACUUUAGUCAACAUUACAUUAAAUGUUAAGCUUUUAUUUGGACUAUUGGGUAGAAAAUAGAAGCUUUAGAAGAAAGUAUAUUCCAUAUUUAUGGAAGUUUUAUGCUAUUUUAUCUCCAUUUAACCUGAAACAUGAUUUUAGUUUUCUAUGGUCCCCUUGUUGGCCCAGUUUUAUGUGAAGGAAUUGCUGAAUUUGUUUCCUGAUUUAUCGUUUUGAUGGUUUGUCCUGAGCUCUGCUUGAGGCGGAGGUCUCAUGUUCUCUGGUUUUGGGGUUUCUGGGAACGUGUUCCUGGAAUGAAGCUGCUUCACACCUUCAGCGUCUCUGAGGUCGCAGACCCAAAACUUCCUGAACUGAGGUCAUCGUCACCUGUUAGCUGUUUCCCACCCGGCCACGAGGUGAGGUGUUGGUCACAUGACCGAAGGUGUGAGGAGCUGUGAAAGUCCCUGAGAGGGAACGUCAUGGAUAGAUGGUCGGACCAAAUGCCUGCAUAUGAAUCCCAUCAGCAGCUCCUGAGUAUUGGAAAAUGGAAACGCCUCUGUGAUUAUCAGAGGGGCUGAAGAUCAAACAUCAGAAAGAGGAAGAAAAGGGAUUUAUUUGACUCUGAAUGCAGCAAGGUUGUUGGUGCCAGGUGGGCUGGUCUGAGUACUUCAGAGCCUGCUGAUCUACCCGAACCUUCAGUUAUCCACUUAAAUAGAACAUGCAUCAAAGAAUUAGCACUAAGUCAUAGCACAAACCCAAAACUACAGAAAACAGUAAAGUCCAUCUCUCCAAAGAUACGUUAAUCAGCUGAUUGAUGCAUGUGACCACCUUCAGACCAAUAAAAAACAGACUGAACUCAAUCAAUCAAUCAAUCAAUCAAUCAAUCAAUCAAUCAAGUCUAAGGCAUCUAAGGCAUCGCUGCCUUCACUGUAACUGUCCAAAUCACUGGAGAUAUGAUUAAAGUCCAGAAUUAAAGGCAAUUAAUAAAGGCAAAAAUCUAAGAACAUUCAAGAUAUAAAACUAUAACCAACCGGUAAACAUGGGAUCAAAAAUUGAGAGUAAAUGAAAACAAAUAAACGUAUUUCAAGCAGGAGUUAGGGAGUUUGUCCUGCAAUUGGCAGGUUGCCGGUUCGAUCCCCGACUGUCACUGUGCCCUUGCGCAUGACACUUCACCGAAUGCCUGCUGCUGGUCAAAGAGCCCAGUGGUGGUGAUGUAUGGCAGCCUAGAACUAGUUAAAGCCAUUCACCAUUUAAAAGUUGAUGAAAUAUAAUAACCAACACUUAAAAAAUAAAGGUAAAUAAAAAAAGUAGGCAAAAAAUAAUAAUAGACCACCUAGCUUACAAAAUCCAGACUGAAAACUGUCAAAGAGCUCAUGUUUUACAUAAAAUAAAUUAGCUCUUCUGCCACUAUUUUUCAAGAACCUUGAACAUAAAAGGAAUCAUGAAGAUAUGUCUGUAAUAAUGAAGCUGGGUGUAAAGGUGGAUGAAUAGAUGGACAGACAGUUUAUACUGGAAUGAUUAUUUUUUUCUUUUUCAUGCUAGGGACUUAAAAAACAAAUGUUUAAAUACAAUUAAAUUCCAAACUCUCCAAAUAAUCUUUCAAACCAGCACAGAGACAGUUGCAUCAGCAGGUUAUGGUUAGCUCUGAAAUUAGCAUAAUGCUAAUGCAGCCCAGCUAGCAGUGAAUUAUGGUGUGUUUUAACUCAUGUAAUUUCAUCAGUUCACUCAGUUCUGGUCUGCUGUAUUGUUGCCGUUAAAAAUUAAUCCAGAACCAGCAAAUUCAUAACCUUCCCUGCGAGCUAAAUUCUCGCACUAUUUAUGCGUUCACAAGCUGACGAGAAUCCAUCUUGUUCCACUACCGUCUCAAUCAUUUGGGGCAAAAAACGGUUCGGGCUAAUCACGUUGCAGUAUCAUGGUUAAUUAUUAUCAUUAUUAUGGUUUAUUAUGGACAUACCAGCUGUAAUGAAAGCAGGAGCGGCUGAGCCCACAGCCGAACCAACGUAAACACGGCAGCUCAGGAGGACGCACGCGUAGCCGCUGCUGUCACAUCUGUUUGGUCAGAAUCCACGAUUUCUUCUUUGAAAGAAGAACAGGAAGAAAUGCCUUGACCGGCGUAACAUGUUGCAGUUUCUCACUGAUACCGUGAUUGGCUAAAACCAACCUGGUGCCUCUGAAAACCAGCUCAGAAAGUUCUGCUGAAAGUCCCUUCUUUCCCCGAACACAUUCGACGGAAGCAGACCCAGAGCCUGAGACGUUAGCUAAUGGCUAACGUCUCAGGCUCAUGGGGCGACCUGAGGGGAUGUUUACGGCUCCAUUUAGCUCUACACAGCAUCGCCUCACCUGGUUAAUAGUGUCGCUAUUCUCAGCUGAACUGCACACAUACAAUGACUUCAGUGUACUCGGGUUUUUCUAUCAGUUUACUAACGUUUGCUGACGUUAGUAUGCUAACACUAGCUCCUGUGUGUGCUAGCUUCCACUAGCUCCCAUUGUCGCUGUAUUUUCAUGCAGCUUUCUAAGUGAUUAAAUCAUCAUAAACAGCAGUAACCAUGGGAUGAAUCAAUGGUGAGUUUUCUAGGUUGGGCCAUGUUGGCUAAGGAAGGAACUGGAGUUUCCCUGAAGAAUCUUCUCACUAUAGAUGGAGUCAAACCACCAAGAGACCAUAUGAACACUGGUAGCCAUUUGAUAAAAUAGACACGAUCAUUUCAAGCAGGAGAGGAAAGACGUUUGGAACAGCUGGAGAACAAGGGAUCAGGGCGACAUGAGAAGACUGGAGGGAAAAUAAAAGCAAAGCCGGCUCAGAUCGUCUGUAUAGUAGGCCUUCCUGCUACAGUCUGUCCUCAUUUUUGUCGACCUACAGAAAGGUCCGAGACUAAACAUUGAACCUUUUGAAAGUAAUUAGACGUUUUUGUAGUAAUUGUAUGGACCUAUCAAAAGAAAGGUAAGGCGGUCAGUAGUGCAUGCUGAUGUGGAGAUCUGGAUGUAAUCUGGACACCUAACUGUUCUUUUCUUUAUUCCUUUCAGUACUUUUCUCAGCUAAAGCUGUCAAGGGUUGCUCUCGCGCUUUAAUGUUUCCUCUUUAACUUGUUUAAAACAACUAUCUUUACUAUGACUGCUUUCUCCUCUCACAUUCAGUCUUCUUACAAAUGU